CCUACGGGCGGCAGCAGUGAGGAAUAUUGGUCAAUGGGCGGAAGCCUGACCCAGCCACGUAGCGUGCAGGAUGACGGCCCUCCGGGUUGUAAACUGCUUUUAUACGGGAAUAACGCGCCUUACGUGUAGGGCUUUGCAUGUACCGUAUGAAUAAGGACCGGCUAAUUCCGUGCCAGCAGCCGCGGUAAUACGGCAGGUCCGGGCGUUAUCCGGAUUUAUUGGGUGUAAAGGGAGCGUAGGCGGCAUGUCAAGCGUGCGGUGAAAUGGCCGGGCUCAACCCGGGCCUUGCAGCGCGAACUGGCGUGAUUGAGUGCGCGGAAAGCAGGCGGAAUUCGGCGUGUAGCGGUGAAAUGCGUAGAUAUGACGAAGAACCCCGAUUGCGAAGGCAGCUUGCUGCAGCGGAACUGACGCUGAUGCUCGAAAGCGCGGGUAGCGAACAGGAUUAGAUACCCUUGUAGUC
rnacentral:rRNA from 1 species